GAUGAACGCUGGCGGCGUGCCUAAUACAUGCAAGUCGAGCGAACAGACGAGGAGCUUACUCCACUGACGUUAGCGGCGGACGGGUGAGUAACACGUGGAUAACCUACCUAUAAGACUGGGAUAACUUCGGGAAACCGGAGCUAAUACCGGAUAACAUGUUGAACCGCAUGGUUCAACAGUGAAAGACGGUCUUGCUGUCACUUAUAGAUGGAUCCGCGUCGCAUUAGCUAGUUGGUAAGGUAACGGCUUACCAAGGCAACGAUGCGUAGCCGACCUGAGAGGGUGAUCGGCCACACUGGAACUGAGACACGGUCCAGACUCCUACGGGAGGCAGCAGUAGGGAAUCUUCCGCGAUGGGCGAAAGCCUGACGGAGCAACGCCGCGUGAGUGAAGAAGGUCUUCGGAUCGUAAAACUCUGUUAUUAGGGAAGAACAAAUGUGUAAGUAACUAUGCACGUCUUGACGGUACCUAAUCAGAAAGCCACGGCUAACUACGUG
rnacentral:rRNA from 1 species